rnacentral:rRNA from 1 species
GACGAACGCUGGCGGCGCGCCUAACACAUGCAAGUCGAACGGGGAUGCAAAGAAGCUUGCUUCAUUGCAUUCUAGUGGCGAACGGGUGAGUAACACGUGAGUAACCUGCCUUACAGAGGGGGAUAACGUUUGGAAACGAACGCUAAUACCGCAUAACAUUGUUUUUUCGCAUGGAGAGACAAUCAAAGGAGUCAAAUCCGCUGAAAGAUGGGCUCGCGCCCGAUUAGAUAGUUGGUGAGGUAACGGCUCACCAAGUCAACGAUCGGUAGCCGGACUGAGAGGUUGAACGGCCACAUUGGGACUGAGACACGGCCCAGACUCCUACGGGAGGCAGCAGUGAGGAAUAUUGGUCAAUGGGCGAGAGCCUGAACCAGCCAAGUAGCGUGAGGGAUGACUGCCCUAUGGGUUGUAAACCUCUUUUAUAUGGGAAUAAUAGGUUCUACGUGUAGAAUUUUGCAUGUACCAUUAUGAAUAAGCAUCGGCUAACUCCGUGCCAGCCGCCGCUGUAACAC